AGGGAGCCAGAGAAACGGCUACCACAUCCAAGGAAG
rnacentral:rRNA from 1 species